UUUGAUCAUGGCUCAGAUUGAACGCUGGCGGCAGGCAUAACACAUGCAAGUCGAACGGUAACAGGAAGCAGCUUGCUGCUUCGCUGACGAGUGGCGGACGGGUGAGUAAUGUCUGGGAAACUGCCUGAUGGAGGGGGAUAACUACUGGAAACGGUAGCUAAUACCGCAUAACGUCGCAAGACCAAAGAGGGGGACCUUCGGACCUCUUGCCAUCGGAUGUGCCCAGAUGGGAUUAGCUAGUAGGUGGGGUAACGG
rnacentral:rRNA from 1 species